GGCCUGGGACGUCGUGACGCACUGCGGCCGCGUUGCGCCGCGGGUUUGAUGAACGCGGUUCCCGGGGAGACCGGUGCGGUUGCUGUGUGCUAUGGAGCCGAGGGUCGUCAAGCCACCGGGGCAGGAUUUAGUAGUGGAGAGUCUGAAAAGCCGCUACGGACUCGGGGGCAGCUGCCCCGACGAGGUGAAGCAGCCGCCUGAGUAUGAUUUUUCAAAUUUUUAUCAGUCUAAGUAUAAGAGAAGAACUCUAACCUCCCCAGGUGAUUUGGAUAUCUACUCUGGAGAUAAAGUUGGUUCAUCGUUAAAAUAUUCUGAUGAAAGCAAGCAUUGUAGAACACCAUUGGGCGGCUUAUUCAAGCACGUAAAUGUGAAUUGCCUAGAUGAUGAACUGGAUUCUUUCCAUGAUUUGAAGAAACAGGAAACAGAAGAAGAGUUAAUUGAAAAUGAUUAUAGAGUUAGUACCUCGAAAAUAACCAAGCAGUCUUUUAAAGAAAUAGAAAAAGUUGCCUUGCCAACUAAUAGGACCUCAUCGAGACCUCGGACUGAGUGUUGUAGUGAUGCAGGUGACUCUCCUUUGAAACCUGUCAGCUGUCCAAAAUCUAAAGCAUCAGACAAGCGGAGUUUACUUCCACAUCAGAUCAGUCAGAUAUAUGACGAAUUAUUUCAGAUACAUCUGAAAUUGCAGUGUGAAACUGCAGCACAACAGAAAUUUGCUGAAGAACUUCAAAAGCGAGAACGUUUUUUACUUGAAAGAGAACAACUGCUUUUCAGACAUGAAAAUGCCUUGAGUAAAAUUAAAGGUGUUGAAGAAGAGGUUCUUACAAGAUUUCAAAUUAUAAAAGAGCAGCGUGAUGCAGAAGUUGAACACUUAACCGAAGUUCUUAAGGAAAAGAAUAAAGAAACCAAGAGACUGAGGUCCUCUUUUGAUGCAUUGAAAGAAUUGAAUGAUACCUUAAAAAAACAGUUGAAUGAAGCAAGUGAAGAAAACAGGAAGAUAGACAUUCAGGCUAAAAGAGUUCAAGCUCGUUUAGAUAAUUUACAGAGGAAGUAUGAGUUUAUGACAAUACAGAGAUUGAAAGGAAGUUCCCAUGCUGUUCAUGAAAUGAAAAGUUUAAAACAAGAAAAAGCACCAGUUUCAAAAACUUACAAGGUACCACUUAAUGGGCAAGUUUAUGAACUUUUAACUGUCUUCAUGGACUGGAUUUCGGAUCAUCAUCUUAGCAAAGUGAAACAUGAAGAAUCUGGAAUGGAUGGUAAAAAACCACAACUCAAAUUUGCUUCCCAGAGAAAUGAUAUUCAGGAGAAGUGUGUAAAGCUUUUGCCUCUAAUGACAGAGCAGCUACAGUGGAUGCCAUUUGUGAAUAUCAAACUUCACGAGCCUUUUGUAAAAUUUAUAUAUUGGUCCCUAAGGCAGCUAGAUGCUGGAGCACAGCACUCGACUAUGACAUCAACAUUGAGGAGAUUGGGUGAAGACAUUUUUAAAGGAGUGGUAACUAAAGGAAUUCAGGAUAGUUCUCCACAGCAUUCUGUGGAGAAUAAACCAAAGACAGCUGCUUUCUUUAAGAGCUCCAAUUUGCCAUUGAGAUUUUUAUCAACCUUAAUUGUUCUCAAAACAGUCACUCAAGCUGAUUACCUGGCUCAGGCAUUUGAUUCUCUUUGUUUGGACUUGAAGACAGAAGAAGGAAAAACCUUGUUUUUGGAGUAUCAGGCUGUUCCAGUAAUAUUAAGUCAUCUAAGAAUAUCCAGUAAAGGACUCCUGUCUAAUGUUAUUGAUAGUUUGCUCCAGAUGACGGUGGAAUCUAAAUCCUUGCAGCCUUUCCUGGAAGCCUGUAGCAACUCUUCAUUUUUUCGUACUUGCUCUGUGCUGCUUCGAGCCCCUAAGCUUGAUCUUCAAAUACUAGAAAAACUCAGUAUUAUUUUACAGAAACUUUCCAAAAUCAAGAGUAAUAAGAAGCUCUUUGAACUUUUUACGAUUCAUCUGAUGCUUCAAGAAAUACAAAGGACAACAAACCCAGAGCAUGCAUUUCUCUGUAUUAAUCUAAAUUCAACUCUGUUCAAUCUGGGUUUAACAAAAUGUAACUCCCUGGUCUCCAGUGCAAGCCAUUAGACUGGCUAAUUUUUUAAUAUAGUAUAUGUGGUGCUUAUUUAUAAAUAUGUAGAAAUUACCAAAGUAACUACAAUUCUACCAAGUAAAGUUAUCAGUAGCAUCAUUUAUCAUGAAAAAUAAAUAAUUUUUUUGAACUGUAAAAAUGAAAUCUGUAGAAGGUAUUGAAACUUUUGGAAUGUUUCAGUUCAGGGUCAAGUGAUUUCAGGCCAAGAAACAAAAGCAAAAUUGUCUCAUUCCCCAGUGCAUUCAGAUGAAAACUGAUAAUAAAAUCAGGUACAGUUCCAAGAGGAGACACUGGAGAGGAACCACGCUGGGUCUGUAAGGAAUUGCAAAUGAGAUGGCACACAUAUUUAUGCUGUAUCAAGGUCACUGUCAUCUUACCAUAUCAGACUGAAAAUGUCACCACCAUCUGGACAGUCAGAUAUGUUUUAUUGGGAAAAUGGUUUUUCUCUUUGUGUAUAUGCUCUGCAGUAGUAGGGUGGUUUAGUAACAAAUAUGUGAGACCUUUUAUUGGAAAAAAAUUGUUUUUAAAUAAUGGGAAAAGCAAUAUGUUAGUAGUAAGUAUCUGGGUAAGUCUAUCUUAGCCUUUGUUAACAAAAACUAAGAAUUGAUGGGGCCUUGAGAUUGAGGUAGAGAUGAAAGAGGAGCUGUUAACUACAAUGUUCUACAUUAUCAGAAAGAGUUGAAGUGUUAAUUUCACUGUUAGAAAAAUGUAAGAUAAAGAAUCCUUUUGGAAAAUAUCAAGGAAACUAUUAAAAAUAGCAUAAAUAUUCUCAAAACACUGAAAAAGAAAUGAAAUAUAUAGAUAUAGCAAAAAAUAGAAUGACAGGAAUGUGAACAAAAAUAUUUAGGAUAAAGAAGUUUUAAAAAUUAUAAGUUCUUUAUGGUCAUGUUCUAAUAAAUUUGAAAAUCUGAAUGAAAUGGACUAUUCUCUAGGAAAAGAUCAAAAUUGGCUUAAGAAAUCUGCACUAGCAAACCAUUGCAGUCUUUUAUUUAUUUAUUUAUUUAAUUUUCUGUAGAGACAGGGUUUUGCCAUGUUGCCCGGACUGGUCUUGAACUCCUGAGCUCGAGCAGUCUUCCUGCCUCAGCCUUCCAGAAUGCUGGGAUUACAAGCAUGAACCAGUGUGCCUAGCCUACAGUCUUUUAUAAAAUUAUCAAAGAAUUAUUUUUUAAAAUGGCUGCAAGUCCAGGUGUUUUACAAGUGGAUUGUUUUAAAAUUUCAACAUGAAAUAUUUAAAGUUAUUUAAACUGUCCCAGAAGGUAGAAAAAUCAUCCAAAUUCAUUUUAUGCAGUUAGCAUGAAUCUGGUAUCAAACAGUUGGCAAAAUGAGAAAGAAUAAGAUUUAAAAGUCUCAAAGAAUUAUGGAGAAAUUAAUACCAACUGCAUAUGACAGAAACAUUAAUCCAUGAUUAAGUAGGAUAACAUACAUUCCAGAAAUACAAGAUUAACUUUCUAAUAGAAAAAUAUAUUUUGGCCAGGCUAAGUUUUUAGUGUAUUAUUAUUAUUUAAUCCUCAUAAUAACUUUGUGAGAUGGGUCUUUUAAUUGUUACCAUUUUAUAGAUCAAAAAAGAAAUGGGGUUAGGGAGAUCUGAGUGACUAAGCCGCUAUCAUUGUUGUGACUAGAGCUCUGUUAGUUGAAGGGGAGUGAGAGGGAAUUUGCAAUACUAGAUUUUUACCCAUAUUAGAGUUGUGACUAGAGUCCUUGAGUUUACCUCCUCUCUUCCAACCUUCAAAUUUAUUGGAAUAACAGAAGAAAUUUUCUAGAGUAAACAAUGUAAAAUAGAAAAUUUUUAUUUUCAGCAGGGUGGUGGACUAUAUCUAUUCUCCAGGUGCAGUGCAACUAAAAAUGUUAAGAGAACAUAAGCAUGUGGUUGAGCUGGUGGCAAAGUAAAACAGUUCCUUGGAGGCCAGACAUGAUAAGAAACAAAUCCAAAGCAAAAGAAAAAAUUUUAAAAAACAGAAAUCAAUGAAAUUGAAAACAGGAAGUCAACACAACCAAAAGCUAUUUCUUUGAAAAGAUAAUAAAAUUAAUAAGCUUCCAGCCAGGCUAACUUAAAAAAAAAAACAACAACAAACAAAAACAAACAAAAAAAAAAACGAGAGAAGGCACAGAUUGCUAAUACCAAAAAUGAUAGAGGGGACAGUACUGUAGAUUCCAUGUUCAUAGAUAGGAAGACUCAAUAUUGUUAAGAUGUCUGUUCUUCCCAACUUGAUCUAUAGAUACAAUGGAAAUCCUAUUCAAAAUCCUAACAAGUUAUUUUGUGAGUACCAACUAACUUUCUCCCAUGAAUUAUGAACUUUCUUAAUGGCAUCCAGAAGGCUAAACUUCCUAGGUUUUCAUAGCUAGAGAGGAGCCAGGGAGGAGACAUCAAGGCCUGGCUUCAAAGCUUCAAAGGACAGGCUGACUCUCUUGUUAGAGUUUAAUGGAGCUGGUGACUUUGAAGGCAAUGCUCAUUUGCCAUUCUGAAAAUCCUAGGGCCCUUAAGAAUUAUGCUAAAUCUCCCCUGCCUGUACUCUAUAAAUGGAAGAACAAAGCCUGGAUGACAGCACAUCUGUUUACAGCAUCAUUUCCUGAAUACUUUAAGCCUGCUGUUGAGACCUACUGCUCAGAUAAAAAAAAGACUCCUCUGAAAACAUUACCACUUACUAACAGUGCACCCAGUGACCAAAGAGCUCUACCAUGGACAUGUACAAGAUUAAUGUUUCCAUGCCUGAUAACAUAACAUCCAUUCUGCAGCCUGUGAACCAAAACGUAAUUUCAACUUUCAAGUCGAUUUGCUUCUCCAUAUAUACUUUAUAAUUCAUGGGAGAAGUUCAAAAUAUCAACAUUAACAGGAAUUUGGAAAGAGUUGAUUCCAAUACUCACGAAUGACUUUGAGGGGUUUAAGACUUCAGUGGAGGAAGUAACUGCCGAUGUGGUGGGAAUUGCAAAUGAACUAGAAUCAGAUGUGGAGCCUAAGAUGGCAUGGUCUUCCAAUAGAAGGCUGUUUCAUCUACCUUGAAAAUCUGUUGUGUAGUGUAGCCACUUCAUCAGUGGUCUUACCUCAGUCUUGUGGAGAACUUGCUGCAGCUUCUACACCAGCACUUGUUGCUUCAACUUGCACUUUUAUGUUAUGGAGAUGAUUUCUUUCCUAAAACCUCAUGAACCAACCUCUGCUAGCUUCAACCUUUCCUUCUGCAGCUUCCUCAGCCUUCAUAGAAUUGAAGAGAGUUAGGGCCUUGCUAUGGAUUAGGCUUUGGCUUAAAGGAAUAUUGUGGCCGAUUUGUAUCAAGACCACUAAAACUUUCUCCUUAUCAGCAAUAAGGCUGCUGUGUUUUCUUAUCAUUUGUGUGUUGUCUGGAGUAGCACUUUUAAUUUCCUUUAAGAACUUUUCCUUUGCUUUCACAACUUCGUAGUUUGGCACAAGAGGCCUAGCCUUCAGCUUUUCUUGGCUUUGGACAUGCUAAACCCAACCAUUUCUAGCUUUUCAUUUAAAGUGAGAGAUGUGAGACUCUUCCUUUCACUUGGACACUUAGAGGGCAUUUUAAGGUUAUUAAUUGGCCUAAUUUCAGUAUUGUUAUGUCUCAGGAAAUGAAGAGAGAUCCAAGGAGAGGGAGAGAUGGGGGAUCAGCCAGUCAGUGGAGCAGUCAUAACACACAAAUUCAUCAAUUAAGUUUGCUGUCUUACAUGGGUGUGGUUCUUGGCAUCCUGAAACAAUUACAAUAGUAACAUCAGAGAUUAUUGGCCAGGCAUAAUGGCUCACUCUUGUAACCCCAGCACUUUGGGAAGCUGAGGCUAGAGGAUUGCUUGAGGCCAGGAGUUUGAGACCAGCCUGGGCAACAUAGCAAGACCCUGUUUCUACAAAAAGAGUAAAAACAGAAAUAAACCAGCCAGUCAUAGUGGCAGGCGCUUGUAGUCCUAGCAACUCGAGAAGCUGAGGCAGGAGGGUCACAUGAGCCCAGGAGUUGGAGGCUGCAGUGAGCUAUGAUCACACCAAUGCACUCCGGUCUGGGCAACAGAGUGAGACCCUGUCUCAAAAAAAAAAAAAAAAAGAAAAAAUAGAUUACUGAUUACAGAUCACCAUGACAGAUAUAAUAACAUAAUAGUAACAGAAAAGUUUGAAAAAUGCAAAUUACCAAAAUGUGAGCUCAUGGUUUUGGAGAAAAUGGUUCCAAUAGACUCACCAGAUGCAGGGUUGCCACAAAUCUUCAAUUUGUAAAAAACGCAAUAUCUGUGAACCACAGUAAAGUUGAAGUGCAACAAAAUUAGGUAUGCCUGUAUGGAAACGCAGAGCUCACACCCUUCUGAUGAACAGACAGAAGUGUCAGAUCCUUUUCUAUGCUAGCAAAGGAUUUUAAGGGUUUGGAAUUCUCUUAAAAGUGUAAAGCUCUUAAGAGGGCGUUACUUGGCAAAGCAGUGCUUUAUCUCAUUCUCUUGUUUGCCUGUUCAAACUUCCCACCCAUUGUAGACCCACUUGCUGUGUUAUUGCAGGUUAAGCCCCCAAGACCCUUUUCUCUCACCUUUUCUGUUCACUUCCCAUCCCCUUUCCUUUUCAGGUCAUCCUCCAUGCCCUUCUGAUGUCCACACGUCUCUUCAUUUUCUUCUCAGGCCUCCUCUUUCUCUCACCAUCUAAGUUAUUGAAAUUCUUGAAAUCCUAAGCAGGCCUGGCACUGAGAGGUAAGCACCUGAGAGUGUCAGUCUUCCCUAGAUAAAUGGAACUGUGUGCAGAUCUGGGACUGCUGGAAGGGUGUGAGGUAGGGAUUUAAGGAUGGCGCAAGUAGGGUGGGGCUAAAAAAGACCUUGUCUUCUUUAUGUAGGAGCAUCGAGAUUAAAGGGUGUGAGGUAGGGGUUUAAGGAUGGCGCAAGUCAGGUGGGGCUAAAAAAGACCUUGUCUUCUUUAUAUAGGAGCAUCGAGAUUAAACACUGAAUUCAGCAGUGUUCAAUUCAUUUCUUAUUUUCCACUGUAUUUCAUUUCAACCCAUCCUCUAUAUUUUGUGAGCCUAAAGCCUUUAGAUAUGUGUAGAGGAAGGUGUGAUACAGCUUUCAACUUCUUGAAAUUUGCCCAAGAAAUACUUUGUAUCAUGAGGUCUGCAGUUAUUUAUACAAAUCCCUGAAAAUAUUUCAUGGCAAAUCUGUAGCACCCAGUUGAGAUGAGACCAAACUGGAAAAAACUCUGUGGCUGUGGUUAUUGUCAGUUCUGUAAGAUGAAGAUGGGACCAGUGACAAGAAUGUGCACUAUUUACUGAGCACUCACCUGCACAGGGCCAUGUGCUUUUCAGACAUUGCCUCUUUCAGUCUUGAGCACAAUGCCAGUUGUGCCAUCCCCUGACAUAUAGAUGAGAUGAAGAUCCAGACAUAACCAGCAAGGGCAGGGCUGGGAUGCGAUCCAUGUGUGCCUGGUUCCCAGGGUUCGCAUGUUUGCAGUGUUCUCUCCAUAACGGUUUGCCUUAAUGAAGAGAGGAUUCAGGAUGUCCAGUUUCAGCCUCACUGGCUGGGCUGGAAUCUUCCAUUGACCCUUCCACUCUACAUUCCUCCCUGGCCUGGGAUGCUCACUCGAGUGGGCUUCUUGCUGGGCUUGGCCAGUGGGGGUUGCCAUCAGGAGACAACAGGGCAUCUGCUUCUCCAGGGCAUCCCCCAGGGCACAGUGCUUUGUGACUCAAGGGUCUGCCCCUCAUGGUUUCCCUAAACCUCACUCCUCUCUUUGUAAACAGCCCCUUUAUAAAUUACACACCUUGAGGGUGUCAUCUGCUUUCUGUCAGGAGCAGGACUGACUCACUAGCAUCACUCCUAAAUAAUGUGAACUUGUUUUGAUUUUUUGUUUGAGGCAGAGUCUCUCACAGUGUUCCUAGGCUGGAGUGCAGUGGCAUGGUCUUGGCUCAUUCUGGGCUCAAGCAAUCCUUUCACCUUAGCCAUCUCAGUAGCUGGGACUAUAGGCAUGCGCCACCAUGCUCGGCUAAUUUUUAAAAUAUUUGUAGAGAUGGGGUCUUGCUAUGUUGCGAGGCUGGUCUUGAACUCCAGGGCUCAAGUGAUCCUUCUGCCUCGGCUUCCUAAAGUGUUGGGAUUACAGGUAUGAGCCACUGCACCUGCCCAAUGAUGUGAACUUUUAGUAAGUCACUUCAGUUAUCUGGGCCCAACUUGCUUUACCUGUCAGGCAGGGACCAUGGUGCCUGGUCUCCCAGAUUGUGAAUGUCAAAGAAAACAGGUAGAGAGGCACUUUGGAAGAUAAACACUCCUCAGAAUGGGAGCUAGCAGUGUAAUUCCACAAGGCACAGAAUGGGCAUUCACUGCAUAGCCUGACUGGAAGUGGAGCAUCCUUUGUGAGAAAAGGAAACCUCUGAGACAGUGAGUAUGUUUCCAUUCUGAAAAGCUUGAUGCAAUCAAAAUAGAAGAAAGAGCACCGCUGAAGAGAAUAAGAGAAGAGAUCUUUGUUUUGUUUUUGCUUGUUUCUUUGUGGUAGUGACAGCGUAUUUCAUGUAGGAACCUGUGACAAAGCUCCACAUAAUAAACAUCAGAAAGUCAAGGAUGAUGGUUUUGGCCAAGGAGCAAAUGACACAUGCCACAGCUCUCCUGGCAGGUCCCCUUUUCGAGAUUGUGUCCUCCCGGAUAGGACUCUCAAGCAGCUGCAACAGGCAUCUUCCAGCUGGGAAAGGCCACUUGACCUCUUUUUCUCUUUCAAAAGCCAGGCAGCUGUGAGUCCAGGCUUGUCACUCCUGGGUGCAGGCUCAGGAAUUGAAGGUGGGUCUGCCAAGCCACACACCCUCGUUGAAACACCUCUGCUCUGUGGCCAGGUUUUUCAGCCCCUCCCCACUCCCCAUCAGCAGUGGCUUCUGGAAUUUCCCUGUCUGUAGAAUGAGAAUAGUUACAUCAAAAUUUCUUCCCAAGGAGCUAAUUGGAAUAUUGUAAUACAAAUAUUUGCAGAGAAUUAAUACUGAGAGAUGCUAAAGGAGAAUUAACUCAUGUAAUUACUAAUCAGUGUCUCUUUUCCAGGUACUCUGUAAGGGAGCUGAAACUUCCAGCCUUUCUUUCUAUUCACAAACCCACCUUUACCCGCCCCCAAUGCUGGACUUUGGUUUUUCAUAUUGCUUUUGCAGAACUUUAAAACAUUUGAACCUUUCCCUGAUGAGUUUUUGUCCUGAGGGGCCAGUGCAGUUUUCUUGCCACUUUGUUUUCCUCUCAUAUAACUUUUCCCUGUCAAUAAGGCAUUUAGGCUGAGAGAAAAAGUUAUUGAGCAUGUGCAUCCAAAUUUGAGAUGAUUGUUAUUUCAUUACCUAAUGACUUUAACUUCUUUGAUACUGUGUUUGUCUUAUGAAUAUAAUGGCUUUCUCACUUUAAUGAAAAGUUAUACAAUAAAAUUGAAAAGUAAGUACUGUAUCUGUAAAAAUUAAUUCCUUUCUAAAUGUAAAGAAUUAAUGGGACCAGACUUUUUAUUUUUUAUUUGUACAAAUCUAUGGGAUACAUGAGAAAUUUUGUUACAUGUGUAUAAUGUGUGGUGAUCAAGUCACCACACGGGUAUUUGGGGUGUCCACCCGAGUACAACACAUCUUUGUUAAGUAUAGUCACCCCAGUCAGCUGUUGAACAUUGAAUUUUUUCCUUCUAACUUACUGUAUGUUUGUACACUUUAACCCAGUUCUCCUUAUCCUCUUCCUUCCACCACGCAUGAUUCCCAGUCUCUGGUAUCUGUCUUUCCCUCUCUACCACUAUGUGAUCAAAUUUUUUAGCUUCCACAUAUAAGUGGAAACAUGUGACAUUUGUCUUUUUUGCUUGGCUGUUUUCACUUAAAAUAAUGACCUCUGGUUUUAUCCAUGUUGCUGCAAAUGACACGACUUCAUUCUUUUUGUGGCUGAAUAGUGUUUCAUUGUGUAUAUGUACCACAUUUCCUUUAUCCAUUCGUCCGCUGAUGGGCACUUAGUUUGAUUCCAUAUCUUUGCUAUUGUGAAUAGUGCUGCAAUAAACAUGGGGGUGAUAUAUAUCAGUAUAUCAUAUUGAUUUCUUUUCCUUUGGGUAGAUACCCAGUAGAGGGAUUGCAGGAUCCAGUGGUAAUUCUAAUUUUAGUUUUUUGAGAAAUCUUACUUUUCCAUAGUGGCUGUUUAAAUUCUCACCAACAGUGGGUAAGAAUUCUUUUUAUCUACAUCCUUGCCAACAUCUGUUAUUUUUUGUCUUUAAUAAUAGCUCUUCUGACUGGGGUAAGAUGAUACCUAAUUGUGAUUUUGAUUUUCAUUCUGAUGUUGGGCAUGUUUUCAUGUAUCUGUUGGUUACCUGUAUGUCUUCUUUUGAACAAUGUCUAUUCAUGUCCUUUGCCCACUUUAUUUUUUUUUUUUGAGACGGAGUCUCUCUCUGUCACCCAGGCUGGAGUGCAGUGGUGCAAUCUCAGCUCACUGCACGCUCCGCCUCUUGGGUUCACGCCGUUCUCCUGCCUCAGCCUCCCGAGUAGCUGGGACUACAGGCGCCCGCCACCACGCCCGGCUAAUUUUUGUAUUUUUAAUAGAGACGGCUUUCACUGCAUUAGCCAGGAUGGUCUCGAUCUCCUGACCUCAUGAUCCAUCUGCCUUGGCCUCCCAAAGUGCUGGGAUUACAGGUGUGAGCCACCAUGCCCGGCCCCCUUUGCCCACUUUUUAAUGGGAUUUAAAAAAAUUUUUUUAACUGUGGAGCUGUUUGAGUUCCUUGUGUAUUCAGAAUAUUAGUCCCCUGUUGGAUGAAUAGUUUGCAGAUAUUUUCUACUAUUCAUUAGGUUGUCUCUUCACUCUGUUGAUCAUUUCCUUUUCUGUGUCAAGUAUUUUUAGUUUAUUAUAAUCCUAUUUGUCUAUUUUUGUUUUGUUGCCUGUGCUUUUGAGGUCUCAGUCAUAAAUUCUUUCCCUGAGAGUUUUCCCUAGGCUUUCUUUUGCUGUUUUUUAUAGUUUCAUGUCCUAUGUGUAAAUCUCUAAUCUAUUUUUAGUUUAUUUUUGUAUAUGAUGAGAGAUAGGGGUCCAUUUUCAUCCCUCUGCAUGUGGUUAACCAAUUUUCUCAGUACCAUUUAUUGAAGAGGGUGAACUUUCCCCAGUGUUUAGUUCUUUUUGGCUUUGUCGAAGAUCACUUGGCCAUAAAUAUGUGUCUUUAUUUCUGGUUUCUUUAUUUUGUUCCAUUGGUCUACGUGUCCGUUUUUAUAACAGUACCAUGCUGUUUUGGUUACUAUAUCCUUGUAAUAUGUUUUGAAGUGAGUCAUUGUGACGCCUGCAGCUUUUGUCUUUUCGUUCAGGAUGACUUUGAGCUCUUUUUCUGUUUCCAUAUGAAUUUUAGGAUUGCUUUUUUGAUUCUGUGAAAAGUGAUGUUGGUGUUUUGAUGGGGAUUGCAUUGAAUCUGUAGAUUGCUUUGGGCAACGUGGUUAUUUUAAUGAUACUAAUUUCUCUUAUCCAUGAGCAUGGGACCUUUUUCCAUUUUAUUUGUGUCCUCUUCAAUUUCUUUCAUCAGUGUUUUAUAGUUUUCCUUAUAGAGAUUUUCCACUUCCUUGGUUAAAUUUAUUCCUAGGUAUUUUAUUUUAUUUUUGUAGCUAUUGUAAAUGGAAUUGCCUUCUUGAUUUCUUUCCCAGCUAGAUCACUAUGGGUAUAGAAAUGCUACUGAUUUUUAUAUGUUGGUUUUGUAUCCUGCAACUUUACUCAAUUUAUUUAUUAGAUAAAAGAGAUUUUGGUGGAGUAUUAAGGUAGAUACAAGGCCAUAGCAUCAGCAAGGAGGGCCAAUUUAAUUUCCUCUUUUCCAUUCUGGAUGCUUUUUAUUUCUUUCUCUUGCCUGAGUGCUCUAGCUAGGAUUUCCAGUACUACAUUGAAUAGCAGUGGUAAACUGGGGCAUCCUUGUCUUAUUUCAGUUCUUAGAGGAAAGGCUUUUAGCUUUUCUUCAUUCAGUAUGAUGUUAGCUGUGGGCUUGUCAUAGCCUUUCUUAUUUUGAGGUAAGUUUCUUCUAUGCCUAGUUUGUUGAGAGUUUUUAUCCUGGAGUGAUGUUGAAUUUUUUCAAAUGCUUUUUCUGCAUCUGUUGAGAUGAUCAUAUGGUUUUUUUCCUUCAUUUUGUUGAUGUGAUGUGUCACAUUUAUUGAUUUGUAUAUGUUGAACUAUCCUUGCAUCCCUGGCAUAAAUCCCAUUUGAUAAUGGUGUAUUAUGUUUUUAAUGUGCUGUUGGAUUUGGUUUGCUUGUAUUUUGUGGAGGACUUUUGCAUAUAUGUUCAUUCACCAGGGAUAUUGGCCUGUAGUUUUCUUUUCUUGUUAUGUCUUUGUCUGGUUUUGGUAUUAGGGUAAUGCUGGCUUCAUAGAAUAAGUUAAGGAGAAUUCUCUUCUCUUCAAUUUUUUGGAAUAGUUUGAGGAGCGUUGGUGUUAUUUCUUUGUAUGUUUGGUAGGAUUCAGUUUGAAUCCAUUUAGUCCUGGGCUUUUUUUGUUGGGUAAUUUUUUUAUUACUGAUUCAAUCUUGGUAGGUUUUAUGUUUCUGGGAAUUUAUCCAUUUUCUCUGUGUUUUCUAAUUUGUGAGCAAAUAGUUGUCCAUAAUAGUCUCUGAUGAUAUUUUUGUAAUUCUGUGGUAUCGCUUGUAAUAUCUUCUUUUUCAUUUCUGAUUUUAUUUGGGUCUUCUUUCCUUGAUUAAUUUAGCUAACUGUGUAUCGAUUUUUUUAUCUUUUGGGAGAAUCAAUUUUUCAUGUUGUUGAGUCUUUGUAUUUUUUUAAGUCCCUACUUUAUUUAGUCCUGCUCUGAUCUUUAUUAUUUCUUUUUGUCUAUUUUUGGGCUUGGUUUGUUCUUGCUUUUCUAUUUCCUUGAGGUAUAUUGUUUGAUUGUUACUUUGUACUCUUUCUACUUUUUUUGAUGUAGGCGUUUAUUGCUGUAAACUUCCCCCUUUGCACUGUUUUGUUGUACCCCAUCAGUUUUGCUUUAUUGUUUCUUCAUUUUUAUUUCUUUCAGUUUUUUAAAUUUUCAUAUUAAUUUCUUUUUUAUCCAGUGGUUAUUCAGAAGCAUGCUGUUUAAUUUCCAUGUUUUUGUAUAGUUUCCAAAGUUCCUCAUGGUAUUGAUUUCUAGUUUUAUCCAUUGUGGUCUGAGAAAAUACUUGAUAUGAUUUUGGUUUGUUAAGUUUUGUUGAGACUUGUUUUGUGGCCUAACAUAUGGUCUAUCCUGGAGAAUGUUCCAUGUGCUGAUGAAAGAAUGUAUAUUCUGUAGUCAGAUAGAAUGUUCUGUAAAGAUCUGUUAGGACCAAUUGCUCUAAAGUUUAGUUUAAAUCCAAUGCUUUUUGAUUUUCUGUCGAGGUGAUCUAUCUAAUGCUGAGUGGGAGAGAUGAAGUCUCUGACUGUUAUUGUAUUGCAUCUAUCUCUCCUUAGAUCUAAUAAUAUUUGCUUUAUUAAUAUGAGUUCUCCAAUAUUCUAGACAUAUAUAUUUAGAAUAAUUAUAUCCUCUUGCUGGAUUGAUCCCUUUAUCAUUAUAUAAUAACCUUUUUUCUUUUCUUUUUUUUUUCACUGUUUUUGACUUAAAGUCUAUUUUAUCUCAUCAGUACAGCUACACCUGCUUAAUUUUGGUUUUCAUUUGUAUGAAAUAUGUACAUCACUUUACUUUCAGAUGUGUCUUUACUGGUAAGGUGAGUUUCUUGUAAGAGGCGUAUAGUUAGAUCAUGUUUUUUAAUCCAUUCAGCUAUUCUAUAUCUUUUAAGUGGAGAAUUAAAUCUGUUUGUGUUCACAGUUAUUGAUAUGUGAGGUUUUGUUGUCUUUUCUGGUUGUUUCAUAUAUUCUUUGUUCCUUUCUUUUUCUCUUAUUGAUUGUUGUUGUGGUUGGUGGGUUUCUAUAGUGGUACCAUUUCUCUUCCUAUUUUAUGUGAUUGCUUUACCAGUGAGUUUUAUACUUUCAUUUGUUUCCAUGAUGGUAAAUGUUAUUUUGCUUCCAGGCUUAAAAUUCCCUUGAGCAUUUAUUGUGGGGGGAGUCUAGUGGUAAUGAAUUCCCUCAGCAUUUGCUUGUCUAGGAAAGACUAGUUCUCUUUCAUUUAUGAAGGAUAAUUUUGCUGGAUAUAGUAUUCUUGGCUGACAUUUUUUUUUUUUUCUCUCAGCACUUUGAGUAUAUCAUACCAUUCUCUUCUGGCCUAUAAAGUUUCUGCUGAGAAACUCACUCUUAGGCUGAUGGGGUUUUCUUUUUUUCUUUUCUUUUUUUUUUUUUUUUUUUGUGAUGGGGUCUCACUCUGUCACCUAGGCCAGAGUGCAGUGCAGUGGCAUGAUAUGGGCUUACUGCAGCCUCUGCCUCCCAGGCUUAAGCAAUCCUCCAACCUCAGCCUUCUUAGUAGCUGGGACCACGGGCACAAGCCCCAUGUCUGGCUAAUGUUUUGUGUUUUUGGUAGAGAUGGGGUUUUGCCAUGUUGCCCAGGCUGGUCUUGUACUCCUGAGUACGAGUGAUCUACCCAUCUCAGCCUCCCAAAGUGCUGGGAUUACAGGCAUGAGCCACUGCACCCAAAGUGCUGGGAUUACAGGCAUGAGCCACUGCACCUGGUCAGGGGUUUUCUUGAUAGGUAACUGUAUGCUUUUCUCUUGCUCUUUUUAGGAUUCACCCUUUAUCUUUGACUUUAGACAGCUGGACUAUAAUGUGUCAUGGCGAAAACGCUUGCAGAAUGUAUCUUCCUGGAGAUCACUGAGUCUCCUGUAUUUGAAUGUCUAAAUCUCUAGACUUAGGAAGUUUUCAUCUAUUAUUUUAUUAAUUAAAUUUUCUAACCUUUUCUCUGUCUCUUUACUCUCAGGGAUACUAAUAACUCGAAUAUUUGAUCACUUUGUGUUUUCCCAAGUGUCAUGAAGGCUUUACUCAUUCUGUUUUAUUCUUUUUCUUUUUGUCCGACUGGAUUAUUUCAAAAAUGCUAUCUUCAAGUUCUGAGAUUCUUUAUUCUCCCUUAUGCAAUCUAUUUUUGAAGCUUUCAAAUGUAUUAUAUAUUUCCUUCAAUGAAUUCUUCAGUUCUGGAAUUUCUGUUUGGUUCUUUAAAAAAAAUCUAUCUCUUUGGUAAAUUUUUCAUUCAUAUCCCGUAUUGUUUUUCUGAUUUCUUUGUAUUGUUUUUCAGAGUUCUCUUGUAUAUCACUGAGCUCCUUUAAAAUCAAUAUUUCAAAUUUUUUAUCUGGGAUUUCAGAAAUUUAUUUUUGAUUAAGAUCUAUUGCUUGAGAAUUCUGAUGUUCCUUUAGAGGCGUCACAUUUCCUUAAUUUUUCAUGUUUCAUUUGUCCUUAAGUGGAUCUCUGCACAUCUGGUGUAACUGUUGCUUCUUCUUGUUUUUGAAAUUUCUUUCAUAGAAGAAGACUUUUUCCUAAAGAUAUAUCUAUGGUUUUGGUUGAGUAGGGUACUUUGGCUUUGAUUCUGGAUGCACGUAGUAAUGUAGUCUCUGUAUGAUUUUUUAGGCUGUAAGUAGUGUUGGUGGCAUCCAUGAUUUCCCCACUGGGUUAGGGUGAAGUUAUUAGUGGAGGCUGUGGUGAAGUUGUACUAGGGAUUGGGAUGCCAAAUGGGCCAGUCUUCAGGCCCUAGUGAUGACAGCAAUGGGCUAAGUGUGCCUGUUUGUGCCCAGGGCUGUAUAGCUGGCAUCUCUGUUGGCAGUUAUUUGGCAGGCUGAUUUCUGGGCCUCCCGGUGGCUUGUUCAGUUGCUGGUAGUGGCAGCAAUGGAUUGGGUGUGUAGGUGGGUUUUGGGGCCUUUGGGCAGCUGGCAUAGCAUGAGCAAUGGCAGUAGCAGUAGCAGGACGAUUCUCUGGGUCCCAAGUGGUGUGCAUUGAUGUUGGUGGUUGCUGUGAUGGACUGGGUAAGACAACCUCUUGGCCUUCAGGUGACACUUGCAAGGAGGUACCAGGUGAUGUGAUGGUGGCUGGGAGUUUAGGCCCAACCAUAGGCCCCAGAAAGAUGCUCAGGUACCCAAGGUGGUGGAUUGAAUUGCACAGUUCCCAGGACCCCAGAAUAUGUGCCCUGUCUGAAAGAGGGGGCAAAGCUGGGCUGUGCAGGUUUGUGCUCAGGCCCCUUGGUGAGAGCAGGCACCACCAUUGGUGGCCAGGAUAAGGUGAUCCUCAGGCCCCAGGCAGAGUGCUCAGGUAAGGGAUGAUGGCAGCUGUGCUAAAGUGCUACCACUGGACAGAGUGUGGCUGUGCUCUGUGGCCACAGCCUGGGCUGGUAGGUGAGAAUGUAUGUCCUUCCCACAGUCCCAGUGGGGCUUGCUUUCCAGCCUUGACAGUGUUAGCCCAUGCCUGUCUCACCCUCCCACCCUGGCUGCAGGAGGCCCCAUUUCAGCUGGUGAGCAAGUCCCAGUGGCAACUUACACCCUUUCAGCAUCCUAAUUUCUGUCCCAGCAGCACUCACUUCCUGGCAUCAGCAACUGCAACCCUUUCCUUGUUUGUUUCUUAGCCCUGGCUGUGGAAGUGCUUGCAGCUCACUCCCCAUUCCCAGCAGCAACAAUCUGGGUUUCUGUAACACCUCAGUCCCAGUGCCUCUGGGCCCCAGGACAGCAUGCAAUCUACCCAAGGCUAGGUUUGAAAACGGUGUCUUGCUGUAGUUGCUUAGGUCUCAGAAAGGUGUGGGAUCCAGUGCAAACUCCAUCUCUGGAGCAGUUCCAUCCCAUGGUCUCCCAGCAGCUCCCUAUGUUAGUUUCAGUGGUUGGGAGGGUUGAGGGGUCUCUCAUGGCCAGGAUUACAUGAGUUCAUGCUGGGGAUCUGGGCCACUGGAAGUCUCUUAUUCACCCUUUCCCUGAAUUGGAAAGUCACUCCCAGCUCCUAGUUGAUCCUGGCUAGGAAGGCUGCUUGUCUCCCUUCUCCUUCCCUGCUUUUGGUGUUUCCUGCCACUUCUCUGUUGAAUUCCAGUGUUCUCUCUUGGAUAAUGUAUUCAAAGUGUGACUGUCUACACACUGUUUUUGUUCUAAGUGGAAGAGGCUGGCAUGAAAUGCUUCUAGUAGCCAUCUUUGUCUGUGCUAUUUCUAAUACUACAUUGCUGUACCUAGGUAAAUUCCUCUGGGAAAGUUGAGACCCAUGUUCACAAAAUAAAGAAAGAGGCCACAAGGAUGAAAGAGGCCACAAGGAUAAAAGAAGGGUCACCUAAUUCCUCAUGGUUAUUUCAUUUAUUUAUUUGGUUGCCUUUAAACCUACAUUCAUGGCUCAAAAUCAUUAUGCAAACUGGGAUUCUCAUAUUACUAUUGAUUUUAAUUUUCCUUUAUAUUUUCCUUUUUUAAACUUCCUGUCUGUUACUUGUCAAAUCUCAGUAGAAGUACACCUUCUAACAGAAUAAUACUGGCCCUGCAUUUUGAGAUGAUAGCAAAUGUUUUUACAGAACAGACAAAAUCAAACUUAACAAUAGACUUCAAGUAGACCUAGCCUGAGAGCCACUCUCUCCAAACUUCCCAUUUGUUCAAACAUGGCUAAAGGGUUUUGACACUGACUCCUAGUCACCAUCAAAUCCCUCCAAUGUGAGACCAGACCAGCCACCUAGGACAGGUCUAUCCUGGCACAAAGGAAUAAUCAAAACCUAACUAUGGGAUGACUCACUGGGGAUGCUUUCUGAUAAAGAUCUUGAUCAAAUGGGGGAAAUGUGGAAGUUGUCAGAAUUAUAAAGGAGUCACUUGUGCUUAAAAAAAAAAAAAAACCUGACAAA